rnacentral:lncRNA from 1 species
AGGACAAGACAAGGUCAUCAUCUAAGGAUUCAACCAACCUAAGAAAAGGGAAACAACCGCCAACUUCUGUAGACCUUGCUUGUGUAAGCAUCAAACCGGAACAACAAGGUGGAAAGAAAUAUACCAAAAUUGAAAAGCAAUAGACUAAUUAAUGCAUACAUAUACACAAAUAAGAAAACAGUAGUGCAUAUAUUAGAGGAUUAAAGUAUCAGAUUUUACAACAGAUUAAAAUUAACCAGGUUGAGUUUUUUUUUUUUUUUUUUUUCCAAUAUUAAACUUGCUCACGUGGUGCAGUACAACAGACAGAAAGGGUUAACACUAACAGUUAAAAGGAUCACGAUCAACGUUUUCAUCUUUCCUACUGAUUAGUGCAGGUACGGAGCCACCUGGUACUGGUAUCCAGCUCCGAAGAAGUUGCCAUGACUAUGGGGGAGGCUGUAAGCAGCAGUACCCAGAACUGGGGCGACGUGGUUGUCAGUUGGUCCAGAGUAACAGUAUGGUCUGUCAUAGAUGUACUGUGGGUACCUAUCAGUCAUCCUAGCAUAGGAGUUCUUGUCGGCGGCAACAUUAGCAACUCGUGGCCCAUAUCCAGCACCAUUAGCACGAGGCCUUUUGGAUUGAGGUUUUGCAACUUCUGUGGCUCUUUUCUUAUCUGCCUUUGCCUUCUCCAGCUGCACGACCCUUUUUUGGAGACCAUCCAGACGGUAAAGGUCCUCAAGCUUGUGCUCCUCGACGCACUUAAUCACAGCCUUAAGUGCAGAAAGCUCCUUUUCAUUGACAUCGCACUGAAACAAUUGACAAUGCAUUAUCCAAGUGAAUACUUCCACUCCCUCAUCAGAAAAAGGAUCUUUGUGGAAGUUUCAGCCUUAACGCACGAUAGGUUAAGAUAGUGUCAUGAAAAAAAUACUAGCAACUUCAAACUAGACCAUAUGAAAGUACAAAAUAAAUGACGCUAAUUCUUAUACAAAGCUAUGAUCAACAAGUUUUAGAUGAUAUAUGCACCACAAGAAAGUUCAUUGAUUUGAAUAUCACCAUCCUGGGAAAGACCCAAACAUGAAUAUAUGUCAAGAGUAAAUGCUUUUGCAAGCCACAGAAAAACACGUCAGAAGCAAUAGUCCUUCUUGUAGAUGUUGAGGAUUAGGGAUAUAAACAAACCUGUGCAGAAGGUGAUGUGUUUCCCAGUUUACUAGGUGAAGACAAUUUUGCUGCGUCGCUCAGGUAAGAUUUCAGUAAUAUAACAGGUGAAAACUGCUCUGUCAGGUCAAAUGCAAAAGCCAGAUUAACAGCAUCAAUUUGUCUCCCAUUUUUCACCAAAACAUCAAUGACACCUGAAAGAAAACAGAAUAAACUGAACUACAAACUCAUAUUCAUUUGGAAGCAAAUCAAAUUGCUAACCAUAACUCAGAAAAAUCUUAUAACUAUCAAAUAGCGUUCACAAGAAGCCAACCUGGCAUUUUGUCAGACAAUCCAAGGGAACGACACAGAUCAGCUGUCUGGCGACGACGAGAAACCAUAGGUAUUAGCUUGGAUAAGCUCUCCUGGUCAAAAUCAGAAUUGAUACCAAAAGUAGCUAGAAGUUGUAAGAAUGCAUGAGCCUCUAAGGAGUUCCCACUGCUGGCAUCAACAUCAAGAUCAUCUAACUUCGGCUUCCACUCUAUUGGUAGUUUUUAGAGUCUAAUUGUUAUAUGUUGGCAUAAGGAUUUCAGGCUGGUCUUGCAUUACCGGAAUACUUAGAUGGAAGCCUGCAUGAUAUGCAGCUUUUUGGUCUAGAAAUUGAAUGUUGCUUCUGAAUUUGGAAAACUGCAUUUAAGUAUCUAUACAAGGAAGAGAGGUGGCAAUUGGGUUAAACAUUUUGUGUCAUUUUUUGAACUUCCAGUUUUGCCCUUAAAAAUAUUAAUUUUUACCAUAACCACCCAAUCACAUGCUAAUAUAAUCUCCCAUAGCUCCCUUAAAUAUUGUAACUACCAAAUUAACUAUAACUGCACUAAAGAAAAAAAUGCUAAUAAAAAUUGCAAUAUUUUUAUGAAGAAUUUAUAUAAAAUUUAAUUUUGUAAAAACAAGAUUAAUAUAUUCAUAAAAAUUAAUAAUUAUUUCUAAACUGCACACACAUUGGGUGUGCCCUUAAAAGUAGUUUAACAUUAUUCUAUAGCUAGUUUACAUGUUGAGUUUCCUGCAGGAGAUACAAGAAACUCUGCUCCCUCCAUCUGUGCACAUCUACCCCAAGAAGAAGGCCAAAGUUUCACAGCAACCUAGUGGUAAUGGUGGAGUAAACAGCCAAACUGAAGGUAGCUCAUCAUCUGUUACCGGUCUGCUUGCCAACGAACCUGAAAAGAUCAGCGAUGAGUCUGUAAUCAGUUCUUCUGAACUGACCUCUGGGACAAAAUGUGGCCCUAGAUCAUCAUCACCAUACCCAAAUGUAUACUCUCUCUCUCUCUCUCUCUCUCUGUAUGUGCACGCGAAAAUGUGUCCAACCUCUACUUUUGUUAUUUGGUUAUCUGUGAUGCCGUUGCUGGUAUGCAAAUCCAGGUAUGGUGCAUAUACUUGUUCAGUUUGUGCCAUUCUAUUUUCUGGGGUUUGUUUCUUGUGCUGGCCAGGAAAGGGUUGCGGCUUGAGGAACUGGUAUUAAUUGUCAAGAAAAAUAGAAUUUUGAGCUAAAAUCUGUUCAGAUCCUUGUACCUGGGAAUGAAUUACUCUGUCUCCUGGUUUGUUUAUGGGUGAGAAAAGGAGGUUUUUAAACAUUUCAAAUGUUUUUCCUUUGUAAUUGUUAAUUUCUUUGAUGGUGUAUGGGUCAGACAGCUCCAACGCUUCGAAAAUCCUGUGAUGGAAGGAUUAGGAAUGUUAUCCUCUUUUGCAGCUCCUUCUUAAUCCUUUCAACCAAACAGUGAGUUGAAGUCAUCCUUCUUUAAUCCUUUUCAUCCCCGCCCUUCCUUCUUUGUCUGUAUCAGACAGGCUCUUUUGGUUUCCUUUUUUCAUUAGUCUUUAUGCUUCUUUUUGUUCCUUUAGCCAUCCCACUCUGCCCAUAUGUUUCCUUCUUUCUGUGGAAUGGCAAGUAACAUUUUGGUCAAGGCAUCUUAUACAGAAUUCAAGAUUGAUCCAAAAGCUAGGUUCUUUGAGCUUGUUUGUCUUUUCUGGUUAACUUUUGGAUUCCAUUUGAUGAUGGCUCUGCCAUGCAAUUAGCUUUGAUUUGUUAGGUUAAGAGUUUAACUUGAGUUGUUUUGAUACAGCAGAUUAGUCAUUUCUAUUUUAUACAUGCAUGCUUUUGUUGGCGUUAGUCAUUUUUCUCUCACGUAAGUGACUAACAGUUUACAUGCAUGCAGUAUCCAGAUUUGAAACCACCAUCAUCCCCAACACCAUCAAAGCCAGAAAUAUGAUGCAAAGCUCACUGACUUAAAUGCUGAAACUUCGUCAUUGCUUGGGUAGUUUUUUCUGAGCGGUUGCUUCAACUUGUGGCAUUCCAUAAAUUUCUGAAGAGAGUGCAGAGUUUGGUUUGAUCCAUAGAGGGAAGCCUACUUCUGGAUUUUUUCAAUUUAUUACUAUCACAGAGUAGCGACCAAUUGUUUUCUCAAGAUAAGAGAAUGAUCGAAGGCAGUUAUGGAAAAGGAAUCCUAAUUGCCAAGCUAGACACUUCGAUGAUCAUGUAGUGCUGUUUGGAAGUAUGUGUGCAACAUGGAAUUUAUGAACACAAGUACCAUAGGAAUUUUUUUUUUUUGUAUUACUGAUGUUGUUAUCUUUUGAGUGUUGCUUGUCUUCAUAAUAUUAAACAAUUAAUAUAAACAGCUUGGUAUGAUACGCUGUCCCAGUCUUGAUCUUGGUCAUAUGCAACCACUGUGUUACAGAAUAGAAAAUAUGUUUAAUUCGAAUUUCUAUGAUCAAUAGUAUAUUAUACGGGCGUUUGCAUUUUUCCUGAUAAUUAUCUUUUCUUCUUGUCAUAGAAAAGGAAAAAAUUCUACCUAAUUUUAUAACAUUAUUAUAGAGAUUAUAUGGUAUAAUGACAACGAUCUGUCGAAGUUAAAUCAAAUCAAACUGUUGCCAACAGAUACACUAGAAUGUGGUAAUGGAAGUUGAGUGAUAUAUCCAGUUGUUCACUAACCAAUUAAGGCUUUGCUGGGGAAAUAUAGCAGCUACAAAUGGAAAUACUAGCAAACAACCCUGUCUUCCCGUAAUAGAGAAACAAGAACCUUGAAGACAUUGCAGGUACAUUUCUGAACAAUAUGCAAGGGAGAUAAACAAAAAUUUGAAUUAUAUACAAGCUAUUCUAUGCUGGAAGUAAAAAGACUAAAUUGGUUACUAUUAAUCAACUGUCCACAAAGAAAAUCUAACGUCACGACACCAUUAUUGGCCUGUUUUCACCAUUUCCGAGUUCAAGGAAUUUCUUCUCAUAGCCAGAAACAAAAUCUUCCAUGCAGGACUAUAAGUUUGCAUACCUGGAACCUUCUUCGCCAAUUCCAACCCAAUAUUCAUCCACUUCUGUGCCACUUCAGUCUGUCCCAACCUCAGAGGAAGUGCUGCUCGGUUCCAUGCUGUCAUGGAAAGCCAUUUUGCCUCUUCAGUGGGAUACUCCCCUUCCUUCAAACCCACCAUUAUUCGGUAUGCUUGUUUGUAUAUGCUAAUUACUGCAUCAUCUGUAUCACCCUUAAAAAUAGUGCUUACAGAAAUUAAUUUCCUCAGAAUUAAAGCCACAUAUUGGUAAUCAGGAGAAGGGGAAGCAAGGAGAGCAGAAAGGCAAGAAUUCAGGGCAAAACCAGCUACUUCAGGGUUGGAUCGUGGUCCCUGUGAGGCAUCAAGACCGAUCUGAAGAAGAUGCAAAGGAUUGCAAGAUUUAGAACUAGCAAAGCUUUUUAUCAAAAGCAUCUGCUUUUGUCCCAUGUCACUUAGCCUUGAAUAUAGAUCGUAGGCACUCCAAGUGUGCAAAAAUGAAGUCAGACUCUGUGCUGGUUUCUUUAUGUUCAUCUUGCAAAGAGAUUGCCGAGCUUGAUAAUAAAAUCUGCAAUUAACAAAUAAACACUUUGUUACAAUCAAACAUUUGGUACCGGUGAAUACAACUUUCACAACCAUGCUCCUCCAGAGCGAACUUUAACUUAAUUUGACAGCAAACUUCUGAUCUCUGAUCAGAAGUUAAAGUUUUACUGGUAAAUUUGAAGCCAUGAAUGAUGAUUGAUUAUGUGUUUGGUUACCUUUCCAGCUCUAUCUGACAGUUCAAUGGCUGCUUUAACUUCAGUUUCUAGCAGCGUGCUAUUUGUCUGCUUUUCAUCAGCAAUAAUUGCAGAACACACAAUAUCAAUGAUUUACAGACCAUUAAGUUGUAAUCCUCUAUGUCUGCAUCAAAUUUGAUGCUAUAGAACUCUGAUGCCAAUCUGAAAAACUGUGCUGAUAUUCCGUAACUUUUUUCUUUCCCUAUUUGCACCCCAAAAUUCCACGCAUUCACUGCAAACCAAUUCUUUUCCCGUUUUCCAACCUCACCUAUUCCAAAAAAGCAGUCAGCUCCAAUCUCAGAUACCCUAUCAAGAGCGCGUUUAAUGUAUUGUAGAAUAUCAGAUGCAUGGCCAGUCUCUUUGUAAGAAUUGUUACUAAGGUCCGAAAAACUACAACUUCCAUGGCUGGCAUUGGCUUUCCUAAGGAGUAGAAGUUUAGGAGAUGGGACAAAGAAGCAACUGCAACAGGAAGAGAUUGGCAGGCAACAGCUUCAUGUGCCGAAAGUGAGAGGAAAUCAGGACUGAAGUCAAGACAGCUUGUCAUCGCUUGCACCUGAGCUAUUGCAUUACAGUGAUCCUUCCUUUGCAGGUAAAUUUUAAACUGCAAAAUGAGAAGCAUAUGAAUGCUGUAAGAAAAUAUUAACAUCACAAGAAGAUUAACCUAAUCUUCUGCUCUUUUAGGGAAGAGAUCUCACACCUUAAGGAAGGCACUAGCUAUAUCAGGUUGAAGCUGCAAAAUUAGAUAGACGUUAGGAUAUUGAGCUACACAACACAGAGAUUUUCUGAAUUUGGUGAAUCAUAUCCAAAUAUGUAUAGACCUUUUCUGCUUCAGUAAUGUACUCUUCAGCUUGAUCUAGUUGUGAAAGGCCUAAGUGACAGAGACAGAGAACUCUAAAGCCCUUUGCUCUGAGCAUUCUGUUCCCUAAGUCAUAAGGGACAUAGAGCAUAGACUUUUCAAACAGCUCAGCACUGAUCUGAAAAUCUUUGGAUCGAAAAUGUUCUGCAGCACUGCAAAGCAAUUUCAGGAAAGAGAAAGAAAAAAAAGGUUAAAAAAUCUAAUUGAUAGAGUGAAAUCCACAAGUUGUCACCAUCUCAAAAUUGUUCAGUUGUUCAAUGAAGCUGUGCCUCCUGUCAUCAAGUGCCAAGGGUGCAAGUGCAACAACAAAAACUCAUACCAUCUUUGGGCAGUGCCAUGUAAUAUGAGUGUUCUUCAGAAUUGGAGUAUUGAUGAAUGAAUGAAGCUUAUGAUAAGCAACAAAAACAGGAAGCUGGCUGUAGGGAGGGAGGAUCAAUUUGUCUUUAAAACCUCACCAAUUCAGUAUGCACACAGUGGCCUCGAUUAAAAAAAAAAAAAAACUGGAUAAAAUUCACAGGGCAGGACUUGCAUGUUCCUUCAAUAGGAGAGCAGUUAUAUCAAAAUGCUAUUUCAAUCAUAUAGUAGUAUCAAACUUUAGACAUCUACUUAACUUGCAUACUUUACAAUGUGGAAACAUAAAGCUGGAAAAAUGUAUGGAUUUUUACCAGUUCCAAAGAAGAGCAUGUAUCGCAGUCCUCUCUUUAGAUGCCUCUUCUCCAGCGAAAAGUGCCACAACCCUCUCAUCAGACACCAGUUCUGCCGCCACUUUUGCCCUCACUCUUGAACCUUCCCACUGCCGCCUCCACUAUCUCCAACCACCCUGUUUACCACUCUAAAAGCUGAUCCAGCACUGACGUGGCACCUUCCUAAUAGCCCCAAAAACACGCUUUUUGCGGUAUCGGCACCAGCCGUGCCAGCUGCCUGAAAGAAUGAUUCAACUGCAGACACCCAAACCCCCUCUGGAAUCCCCUUAUUUAUUACCAUGCCUUUCAGCUCCUUCUCUGCUUCCCCAUAUCUUGCUAAUCCCAACCACGCCUUCAUGGCCAACACGCUCAAACUUGGGUGCUGGUCCCCGCCACCAUCCCUCAAAACUCUCACGCACUUGAGAACAUUAUCAAAUUCAUCCCUCUGCAAAUGAGCAGCGGCUAUGAAGCGCAGCGCUUUUGCCCUCAAAUCCUUCAGUGCUAAAGUCUCCUCUGUUGUCUUCGCAAUCCUCAACCCCUUUUCACACAACUCCAGUGCUUCAUUCAUCAAUUUCAACGCUUCAUUCACUCCAGAAACUUCAUUUUUCGACAAAAUAACUUUUCCGAACAUCAAAUACUGAGAUGCUAAUGCUUUGUAGUUCUCUGAAAUUCCAAACAGUGCAUUUUUUGACCGACUAAGUAACAUGAUGGACAAAUUCCUAUCAGAAACUUCCCAAGCAGUCCGGGACCUAGCUAGAUUUAGAUUUAACACAAGCUUGCGCUCAUCGUAAUCUGAAAUUGAACUAAUUUCAACUUUGGACACGAGAUCCGUAGCUUUUUCGAAGCAACUACUCGCGAGGUCGAAUUUGUUGAGAUCGUGCCAAACGAGACCGGUCUUGUAGAAGAAGGAGGCGCACUUGAAUGCCGGGGAAGGAAUACCGACGACGUCAGCUGCGAGGAAGAGGAGGUCAGCGGAGACUUGACGGAGCUUAGCGUGCUCUUCGGAGGAUUUGAUGCCGCUGGCGGCGAAGGCGUUGGAGAGAUCGACGCAGGCAUUCCAGAGUCGGUAGCUGAGUUUCCAGAUGCUGAGACAAACUGAGUUCGGGAAGGGCGCGAGCUGUGUCAGCUGAGUCAGGGCAGAACGGAGGUCGGAGGAGAGAGCUUCCGGUAAGAUGGUGGAAGGAGAAUGCAGUUCGAGUUGUUUAAUUGAUGACUCGAUUUGUGAAAGUGUGUGAGAGUGAGGUCCGGACUCUUGAUCGUGGCUUCGUCUGAGCUCCGGCGAGGAGAUCUCUGCUAUUCUCAUUUUUUUAGUCCAGCAAAUGAUUCGUUGAUUACUCGGGUCAAAUUUGGGAGGGAAAGAAGAAUUCAAAAUGAACCAUUUGAAUGAACAGAACUUCAUUCAUUUAUUUUGGGUUUUUGGCGGGGCGGGGCCCGGGAGGGCGGGUUUGUUGGUUAGCAGAGCACCCGCGAAUUUGGAAAAUCCCAAUUUAGGCCCAAAAAAAAAAAUAAUAAUAAUAAUAAAGCAGGUGUUUUAUCAGUAGUACUAUGAUAAUUAAUCACUGGAGUUGGACAAAGUCCUCCUUUUUUAUAAUUUUGGAUUCCAAGGUGUGGUCAAUAGGAUCUUGAAUUAUUGAAUGGGAAAAACACAAGGGGAUUCAGCAAGACCGUAAUACUACACAGUCUACACCUCCUAUUUUUGAUAGAGUAACCGGAGCCUGCCAGAAACUACCAUAAAGUUAAUGGUAAUCGAGACCCCCUUCCGAGGUUUCCAUUCAACCUAAGCCCAUUCUUCGUGAAACAGUUUCAAGAUCUGUGAUAGUGCUGCAAUCAAUAGUCGAAGCCAAAAAUUGCAAUCAAUAGUCGAAGGCUCGCCGUAGCAUAUGACAGCUUCCGACUAGUCCUUGAUAUCAUCAGCUCGAAAGCGGAGUAAAACAACACCAGAAGGACAAGACAAGGUCAUCAUCUAAGGAUUCAACCAACCUAAGAAAAGGGAAACAACCGCCAACUUCUGUAGACCUUGCUUGUGUAAGCAUCAAACCGGAACAACAAGGUGGAAAGAAAUAUACCAAAAUUGAAAAGCAAUAGACUAAUUACUGCAUACAUAUACACAAAUAAGAAAACAGUAGUGCAUAUAUUAGAGGAUUAAAGUAUCAGAUUUUACAACAGAUUAAAAUUAACCAGGUUGAGUUUUUUUUUUUUUUUUUUUCCAAUAUUAAACUUGCUCACGUGGUGCAGUACAACAGACAGAAAGGGUUAACACUAACAGUUAAA